UACGUAGGGUGCAAGCGUUGUCCGGAAUUAUUGGGCGUAAAGAGCUCUGUAGCGGUCUGUCGCGUCUGCUGUGAAAACCUGGGGCUUAACCCCGGGCCUGCAGUGGGUACGGGCAGACUAGAGUGCGGUAGGGGAGACUGGAAUUCCUGGUGUAGCGGUGAAAUGCGCAGAUAUCAGGAGGAACACCGGUGGCGAAGGCGGGUCUCUGGGCCGAUACUGACGCUGAGGAGCGAAAGCGUGGGGAGCGAACAGG
rnacentral:rRNA from 1 species